AAGCAUGGGGAGCAAACAGGAUUAGAUACCCUGGUAGUCCAUGCCGUAAACGAUGUCUACUAGCCGUUGGGGCCUUUGAGGCUUUAGUGGCGCAGCUAACGCGAUAAGUAGACCGCCUGGGGAGUACGGUCGCAAGACUAAAACUCAAAUGAAUUGACGGGGGCCCGCACAAGCGGUGGAGCAUGUGGUUUAAUUCGAUGCAACGCGAAGAACCUUACCUGGUCUUGACAUAGUAAGAACUUUCCAGAGAUGGAUUGGUGCCUUCGGGAACUUACAUACAGGUGCUGCAUGGCUGUCGUCAGCUCGUGUCGUGAGAUGUUGGGUUAAGUCCCGCAACGAGCGCAACCCUUUUCCUUAUUUGCCAGCGGGUUAAGCCGGGAACUUUAAGGAUACUGCCAGUGACAAACUGGAGGAAGGCGGGGACGACGUCAAGUCAUCAUGGCCCUUACGACCAGGGCUACACACGUGCUACAAUGGUCGGUACAAAGGGUUGCUACCUAGCGAUAGGAUGCUAAUCUCAAAAAGCCGAUCGUAGUCCGGAUUGGAGUCUGCAACUCGACUCCGUGAAGUCGGAAUCGCUAGUAAUCGCAAAUCAGAAUGUUGCGGUGAAUACGUUCCCGGGCCUUGUACACACCGCCCGUCACACCAUGGGAGUGGGUUGCACCAGAAGUAGAUAGCUUAACCUUCGGGAGGGCGUUUACCACGGUGUGAUUCAUGACUGGGGUGAAGUCGUAACAAGGUAACCAAUCGAAU
rnacentral:rRNA from 1 species